AUUGAACGCUGGCGGCAGGCCUAACACAUGCCAGUCGAGCGGAUGAAGGGAGCUUGCUCCUGGAUUCAGCGGCGGACGGGUGAGUAAUGCCUAGGAAUCUGCCUGGUAGUGGGGGAUAACGUCCGGAAACGGGCGCUAAUACCGCAUACGUCCUGAGGGAGAAAGUGGGGGAUCUUCGGACCUCACGCUAUCAGAUGAGCCUAGGUCGGAUUAGCUAGUUGGUGGGGUAAAGGCCUACCAAGGCGACGAUCCGUAACUGGUCUGAGAGGAUGAUCAGUCACACUGGAACUGAGACACGGUCCAGACUCCUACGGGAGGCAGCAGUGGGGAAUAUUGGACAAUGGGCGAAAGCCUGAUCCAGCCAUGCCGCGUGUGGGAAGAAGGUCUUCGGAUUGUAAAGCACUUUAAGUUGGGAGGAAGGGCAGUAAGUUAAUACCUUGCUGUUUUGACGUUACCAACAGAAUAAGCACCGGCUAACUUCGUG
rnacentral:rRNA from 1 species